CGCCUGAUACGGGCUAAGGGUCUCUGCUCUCUGAUACACAUUCAUGUGUAAAAUAACAGGCUAAGCACUGUUGAAAAAAUAAAGGAAAACAGACUUCACAAGGGUCUCCGUGCUGAAAGCAGCCUUCAACAGGAAGGUCCCUGGAGAAUCAGCUCCUUCCAAAAGAUCAGGGGGUGAAGACUUCAAGACCGCAACUGCUGCUGUCUCACCCCUAGGCAGGAAUGGACCACCCUCCGCCCUCCACCCUCCGCCAGCAGCCCACAGGAAGCAAGUAGAACCUGAUACCACCUCCCGCCAGUCUGUGAAUAUGUAAUCUGACUUGUAUUUUCCCUGUUUUCCCAUUUUGCAUACUUCAGAAUAAAGACAGCUGUUCAUAACA
rnacentral:antisense_RNA from 1 species